ensembl:lncRNA
UUCUGAUGUCAAUUUUUAGUCCUCAUCUGGGCUGUCCACACACUCUUUUGUUGUCAGUGACACUAUCAGAACAGAUACAUACUCAUUUUCCCAUUCUUUAGCAAGAUCCACAGACCUAUGUCAGUGGCAUUGUCACAGAAGCAUGGCUCCAAAGUGAAAACAGAACAGUGUUGUUUUGCUUGUUUGUUUGUUUUCAUUAUUCUUUUUUUUUUUUAAGACAGUAUGAAGUUAGUUGUCUUGGAAUAAGCCUUUGGUCCGUACUUAGACCAAAAGUUAAGAUUAGGAGAAGAAAACAGCUACUGAACAUAGAGCAAACUGUAAGCCCUUUCCAAAGGUGAUGGAAAGAAAAGUCUAAAAGAUAAAUCUUUCUUUGCUCCUGCUUCUGAAGCAAGAAAUAAAAUGGGAAUGAGUUCAACCUACUCCAGAUAGUAGAUGAUGCAUAACCACAUGUAUCCACAUUGUAGCAUCCCAGGGGUUGCCAAGACUCAGAGGAGAACACAACCGCUUCUGCAAUUUUCAGUACAGGCCUAGACCUCUGCAAGUCAGCUCUGCAAAGCCCAGUGUCCCUUUGAGAAUAAAUCUCAGGCACAAGGGUUAGAUACUAAAGAAUCUCUAAAAACGAUGAACAGACAUCAACAGAACUGGAAACUGUUCAAGGAAGUACUGAGUCUGUAAAGGUGCUUUAGUAAAUUUGGUCAACUUAAUUUCAGUGUCUGGUUAAAAACAAAAAAAAAAAAAAAAGGAAGGAAGGAAGGAAGGAAGGAAGGAAGGAAGGAAGGAAGGAAGGAAGGAAGGAAGGAAGGAAGGAAGGAAGGAAGGAAGGAAGGAAGGAAGGAAGGAAGGAAGGAAGGAAGAAGGAAAGAAAGAAAGAAGGAAAGAAAGGAAGAAGGAAAGAAAGAAAGAAGGAAAGAAAGAAAGAAGGAAAGAAAGAAAGAAAGAAAGAAAGAAAGAAAGAAAGAAAGAAAGAAAGAAAGAAAGAAAGAAAGAAAGAAAGAAAGAAAGAAAGAAAGAAAGAAAGAAAGAAAGGAAAAAAAAAAAGGAAAAAAAGAAAAAAAGAAAAAACAAAAGAAAUAUCAAAGAGAGCCAGGUUCCAACCUGGAACCAGGUUCCAACCAGGUUCCAACUGCUAGACUGUUUGUCCAGCUCCCCAUGUCUUCUAGCACAAGCAGCAUUGCAGUGUGAAGCUUCUGGUUCAUUUAUGCACAGGAAACCUCUUAUUCGGGUGCUACUGAAAUGAGAGCUGUUUCUGCAGGCAAAAGAGGAAGAAAGCUCUGUCACAUGCAGUGUCACACCAGUGAAGUCAUGCACUGGCAUAACAGCAAGUGUUGUCAGUUGUCAAAGGCCAUCUGUAGCCAGCAGACUUAAACUGUCAUCCUGCAAAAAGAUGCAAACAAGCCUAAUGGGAGAUUGCUUUAUCCUCUUUCUGGCAUUCAAUCAAAUGUUCCCUGAACAGACAUAGAAAACAAAGGAUCACUUUUUUUUUUUUUCCUAAAGAAAAACAUUAUUUUUGUGGCAGUUUAUAUAUUUUCAAAAUGACAGGAAAAAUAGGAAGAAUCAAAGAAAAUUCCAUAACCAAAGGGUCACUCGUCAGCUGUGGAUUGCAUGUAACUCUGUUGCUCCAGGGAGAAAGGGAUUGCUCCACUGCUUGCUCUGCAGAAUAGACUCACAGACUUUUGAAUCAUUUAUGCGUUUGCUAUGUAUCAGAUCUUCAAAUCAACCUGCAACUGAAGAGAGGAGACGUGCAGGGGGAGAGGAACACUUUCCAUCACAUGCAGGCCCCAGUGGUGUAAGGGGGGAAAUACUCUGUUCCAUAUUCCUGGAGGCAAAGACAAAUGUGCUUGUUUGGUUGGUUCUAGCGCGGACAGGGUCCAAAGAAGAAGAGCACUGAAAAGUGAAAAAUGAGUCUUGGGAUCUGUGCCUGGUACUGAUGCAAAUGAAGGUGGAACUAUACAAACAGCAACACAAUUGGGCCAUUCAUCAUUCCUUCAUUAGCAGCUUUUCUUCACAACACCCCCAUCAAAGAAAGAAAACCUCCCUUCUUUUUAUUAAAGAUCAAGAGGAUUGAAAAGAAAGCGUAAUUGAGUUCUGAAGAUAAGUUCAUUCAACACCAAAUCAAAGCCUGGAAGUAGCAGCAAGCUAACUAGCUGUGUACAGAAGCCCUGCAAAAACGCAUCCAUCCAUCUUGUUGACAGAAGGGGCUCACACACACAAACUGCUUCCGCAUGAGAAUGGGAAGACAGCACAUGUUGCUCUGUACAACAGCAUACAGGGACCAGAAAUUGAUGGCAUGCAGCUGUGGGGGCAAAAUCUCUUCUCAGCCUGCCCAUGGAGACUUGAAAGGCUGACAGAGGAAAACUUCAUUUAAGCAGUGAUAUCAAAGACAUGUGGGCAAAUAAAAUACAGCAGUGUCUCUGCAAAUAACACAUAAAAUUACCAAUUAUUAUGUAUGAAAAACUAGUCUAGAAAAAGAAACGUAGCUUCAACUCUUUCAUAAUAGUUCAUAUAUGCAGCAAUUACUGCCCCAACCAAUAGCAAAGUAGAAAUUAACACAGUGGCCAAUGGAUGUUUGCAGGAAAUAAGCUGUUAAAUUAUGCAAUUGCUUUGAGAGGAAGUAUAAGAGACAUGAAAUGCACAAAAUAAAUCUGUGGAAUUGUAAAGGCUUGCACAGCAUGGAACUAGCAUGUAACUACCAUGCAAGCAUGGACAAGGCACUGCAGAAAUCACAACACGGUUGUGCUGAGCCAGUAUAUAGCUUUUAAUCAUGUAUGUGAUUACAUGAUUAAAAGCUAAAUAAUAACCAUCUACAAGGGAAGGUAAACUAAAAUUAUGUUGGCAAAUUGGAGGCAAAUUUCCUUCUCUGCUCACUCAUGCACACCUUGUUUCUGAGUUUAUUUUGUUUAUUUCAUUGUUUGGGUAAUCUAGAAGAUAGGUGUGUUUUACCAAAGGUCAGGGUCGUCACUGUGUAUGGAAUAAUACCAUAGAACCACCAAGGUUGGAAAAGACCUCCAUGAUCAUCCAGCCCAACCACCCACCCACCGCCAGUACUUCCCACUAAGCCACAUCCCUCAGUACCACAUCUGAACAGUUCUUGAACACCUCCAGGGACACUGACACCACCACUUCCCUGCGCAGUCCACUCCAGCACUCACCACUCUUUCAGGGAAUAAUUUUUUCCUUUUUUUUUUAUUUUUAAAUUACAUAAUACCAUGCACCACUAUGCUCUUCUAGACACUCUGAAAGUAUUUGCUGCUCAAUGAAACUGUCCUGCAAACAUUUCUGCAAGGUGUGCACAGCGAGCUGCAACACUGUGCAUAGCAUCUGAGAUGUUUUACUGCUGAAGUUUUGCUUUAAUUCCUGGUCAGUGCUCACAGAUUACGCAUCUGCCUCUGACUUCUUUUGCUUGGG